rnacentral:rRNA from 1 species
GAUCCUGGCUCAGGAUGAACGCUGGCGGCGCGCCUAACACAUGCAAGUCGAACGGCACCCCUCUCCGGAGGGAANCGAGUGGCGAACGGCUGAGUAACACGUGGAGAACCUGCCCCCUCCCCGGGAUAGCCGCCCGAAAGGACGGGUAAUACCGGAUACCCCGGGGUGCCGCAUGGCACCCCGGCUAAAGCCCCGACGGGAGGGGAUGGCUCCGCGGCCCAUCAGGUAGACGGCGGGGUGACGGCCCACCGUGCCGACAACGGGUAGCCGGGUUGAGAG